GUGCUUAAUUCCACAGCCCAUAUACUAAAAUUGGAACAAUGCUGAGAUGAUUAGUAUGGUCCCUGUGCUAGGGUGACAUGGAAAUUUUUGACACUUAAAAGAAAAAU